rnacentral:ncRNA from 1 species
UACGGCGAGCUACCAUCUGCUGGAUUACGGCUGAACGCCUCUAAGCCGGAAUCCAUGCUGGAUAAGCAGUGUUGUACACCGUGCUCAAUGCUACAAGAAAAAGGCUAGGUCAGGCUUCGGCCUGACCAAAAUUCAAGCUGCUAUACCUCUGGCUGCAUUGACUUGUGGUCAGAGUGUAUGGUGAUCAUAGCAAUUGCAAGUAUUGGGCUCGAUAAAUCCUUUGAAGACGACUUAAUUGCAUCCGGGUAUUGUAAGUGUUGAGAGUAGGCUUAGUCUUACGAUCCACUGAGAUUCAUCCCGUGUUGCGCCGAUUUGU